rnacentral:rRNA from 1 species
UUAAGUCAGGCAACGAGCAAGACCCGUGCCCACUGUUGCCAGCAUGUCCUCCGGGGUGAUGGGCACACUGUGGGGACCGCCGGUGCUAAAUCGGAGGAAGGUGCGGGCUACGGUAGGUCAGUAUGCCCCGAAUUUCCCGGGCUACACGCGGGCUACAAUGGUUGGGACAAUGGGCACCUACCCCGAAAGGGGAUGGUAAUCUCCUAAACCCAUCCUUAGUUCGGAUUGAGGGCUGCAACUCGCCCUCAUGAAGCCGGAAUCCGUAGUAAUCGCGUAUCAAUAUCACGCGGUGAAUACGUCCCUGCUCCUUGCACA